UUCGUUUUAGAGUUGGCCUAUACAGUAUUCCUCCUUGGAUUCCUGGCUAGGGACAUGGGGAGGAAAUGAAAGCAACCUGGAGCAACUAUCACAAUCAAUCUGGGACACUGGAAAGAGUCAAGAAGAUCAUUCAUUAAAGAGAAACAUCCAAAAUGAUGGAAGAGCAAAGUGAGGAUCCAAGAAGUUUCUGACAUGGUGUAUGAGUCAAAUGUAUGACAAUGGAGUUAUCUUGGUCAUGCAACAUGUGUUAAACCAGUUUUCUCUGGUUCCUAGUCCAUCCAAUGUGACUACAAUUAAACUAAGCUUAUUCUUCCGGGCAUCUCACACGAUUGUCGUGAGUGUUCCUUGUGCUGAUGGUUAUGGUUCUCUUCCGUUGCAAAGGCUUACAGAGUCUCGGGUAGCUCAGAGUCGUCAGCUACUAUCUCCCUUGACCAUAGAUAACUUCUCAGGGCUGCACCUUGGACCACACCAGAUCAAGUACAAU
rnacentral:lncRNA from 1 species